CUCUGGAAUGUUUCAAAAUGGUUCCUUUUCCCUCUUGCCGGGAGGCUGAGGGGUUUUCUCUUUCAUAUUUACUGUGGGAGUUUAGUCAAACUCCUGGUGGUAAAUCUCACAGUAUUGAUGACAAAGUCUUCCUUGAGUGUUUAUUUCACUAGUUAUCUGAACAAUUAAAGUUCAAAUUUUCCUACCCAGCGGAGGUUCCUGUGGAGGUUUCUGCUGUGAUUGUCUGGUGCAUCACUAACCUGUACAACAAAAAGAAGAAAAGAAAAAGGUUUCUCUCUGUGGAUGCAGCCCAAGAGGAUUUGGUGAACAGUGACAUCAAAAUGGGGCACAUCUGAAAGGGGAAAGAGUGAGCUGAAUGGGUCCAUUAAUUUAAUUGAAGCAAGCUCAGACAAGAGAUAAAACAUCCCAGCCGGCUUCUUUUCAUGCAUCAUGAGUGCUGUAGUAAACAGGCAGAGAUCCAAACACACCAAAAAGAAAUAAAGGUACGUGGAGACUCUAGAGACUUCAAGGCCAUGUAAUAUCAACAGAUGCAGAGGUGAAUACACCCAGAAGAGGCCCUCUCUUCAUAUACCACCAUGUCACUGUUCUGCGGGCACUGUCUAGGCUUUAUUGUGAAACUCUGAACGACUCUGAGGUUACAUGUAAGUAAUUUAGACUUCCUAAGGCAAAGUUGCGUUUGUUCUUUUUUUGUUUGUUUUUUUCAAACUUCUGAGAAAUAGACUCCAUCUCCUGUUCUUGAAGAGAUGGAACAGGGGAAAUGGACUUCCACUGAUCUUAGAAGCAGCUUUAAAUGAUGUUGCUCUCUUUCAGCUAUCUGUUUUUGAAAUGUAGCAGUCAGAAAAUUCUUUUAGUCCUGAAGAGGUUGGGGCCUCUCAGUGCACUCAGCAUUUGUCUUUCAGUGGUCAGUGUGAUUGUACACAGCAUAUUAUUCAAUCCCUGGCUGCGCCCAAGAACAGAAAACAACCAAGCAGAGUCUCCCAGUGAACAUAAAGUCUGUCCAUGGCAAGUUAUUUCAUCUGAUAAAAACAAUUUAGUAUAUUUAAUCAAAAUUAUAUUACAUUCAGAUAUUCAUAAAGUCCUUAAUAUCAUCAUCUAGGGGCAAACCAUGGUGUAAUGCAUUAAACAUGAGUGAAUAUCAAACUAAAUAGGUAGUUUUCAUAAAAAUGUUAGAAAAAAAUAGCAUGUAAAGAUGCUUCCAACUAGUUUUCAAUGUGUGAAAAUAAACAAUUUGUAAGAGAAAUAGUGUCUUUUAGCCAAAUUAGAUUCUGCCCAAUAUUAUUAUUUUAAUGGAUGAAUAAAAAUGCUUUGGUGUCUGGGCAUGUAGAUUUAAAAUGAUGAUGAAAUACAGGUAUUUUCACAAUAACAAUGAAGAGAUAUUUCAGGCCUAUAAAUCAUUAAAUAUUGAAUACCAAUUUUACAACUCAGUAAAAACAAUAGAAAUCCUUAAAAACAAGUAGUUAAAAGAGGCUUGCACUACAGUGAUUGAAAUAAUUGAUUUUUUUCAUAUUUUUUUACAGUAUCUAUGAGGCAUUUCAAUUUUUGUUUUAAUUUUCAUAAUUUCUUUAUUCUUCUAAUGAGGACAUUAUUUCCCUUCUUAAACAGAGAAAACAAUUUCUUGUUUUGAAAAUUACUGUGAAAAGAACC